GAUGAACGCUGGCGGCGUGCCUAAUACAUGCCAGUCGAGCGAACAGACGAGGAGCUUGCUCCUCUGACGUUAGCGGCGGACGGGUGAGUAACACGUGGAUAACCUACCUAUAAGACUGGGAUAACUUCGGGAAACCGGAGCUAAUACCGGAUAAUAUAUUGAACCGCAUGGUUCAAUAGUGAAAGACGGUUUUGCUGUCACUUAUAGAUGGAUCCGCGCCGCAUUAGCUAGUUGGUAAGGUAACGGCUUACCAAGGCAACGAUGCGUAGCCGACCUGAGAGGGGGAUCGGCCAAACUGGAACUGAGAACCGGCCCAGACCCCAACGGGAGGCAGAGGGAGGGAAUCUUCCGCAAGGGGCGAAAGCUUGACGGAGCAACGCCGCGGGAGUGAUGAAGGUCUUCGGAUCGUAAAACUCUUUUAUUAGGGAAGAACAAAUGUGUAAGUAACUAUGCCCGUCUUGACGGUACCUAAUCAAAAAGCCGCGGCUAACUACGU
rnacentral:rRNA from 1 species